UUUGACCUCGGAUCAGGUAGGAAUACCCGCUGAACUUAAGCAUAUCAAUAAGCGGAGGAAAAGAAACCAACAGGGAUUGCCCUAGUAACGGCGAGUGAAGCGGCAACAGCUCAAAUUUGAAAUCUGGCUUCGGCCCGAGUUGUAAUUUGCAGAGGAUGUUUCUGGCGCGGUGCCUUCCGAGUUCCCUGGAACGGGACGCCACAGAGGGUGAGAGCCCCGUAUGGUUGGACACCAAGCCUGUGUGAAACUCCUUCGACGAGUCGAGUAGUUUGGGAAUGCUGCUCUAAAUGGGAGGUAAAUCUCUUCUAAAGCUAAAUACCGGCCAGAGACCGAUAGCGCACAAGUAGAGUGAUCGAAAGAUGAAAAGCACCUUGAAAAGGGGGUUAAAUAGUACGUGAAAUUGUUGAAAGGGAAGCACUUAUGACCAGACUUGGGCCGGGCGGCUCAUCAGGGGUUCUCCCCUGUGCACUCCGCCCGGCACAGGCCAGCAUCGGUUUUCGCGGGGGGAUAAGACCGGCGGGAACGUAGCACCCUCCGGGGUGUGUUAUAGCCCGUCGGACGAUACCCUCGCGGGGACCGAGGUCCGCGCUCCGCAAGGAUGCUGGCGUAAUGGUCAUCAGUGACCCGUCUUGAAACACGGACCAAGGAGUCGUCCAUUAGAGCGAGCGUUUGGGUGUAAAACCCGCACGCGUAAUGAAAGUGAACGCAGGUGAGAGCUUCGGCGCAUCAUCGACCGAUCCUGAUGUUCUCGGAAGGAUUUGAGUAAGAGUUUUAACGGACGGACCCGAAAGACAGUGAACUAUGCUUGAAUAGGGUGAAGCCAGAGGAAACUCUGGUGGAGGCUCGCAGCGGUUCUGACGUGCAAAUCGAUCGUCAAAUUUGAGCAUGGGGGCGAAAGACUAAUCGAACUGUCUAGUAGCUGGUUACC
rnacentral:rRNA from 1 species